rnacentral:rRNA from 1 species
CUAAUGUUGAAAAAUUAGCGGAUGACUUGUGGCUGGGGGUGAAAGGCCAAUCAAACCGGGAGAUAGCUGGUUCUCCCCGAAAGCUAUUUAGGUAGCGCCUCGUGAAUUCAUCUCCGGGGGUAGAGCACUGUUUCGGCAAGGGGGUCAUCCCGACUUACCAACCCGAUGCAAACUGCGAAUACCGGAGAAUGUUAUCACGGGAGACACACGGCGGGUGCUAACGUCCGUCGUGAAGAGGGAAACAACCCAGACCGCCAGCUAAGGUCCCAAAGUCAUGGUUAAGUGGGAAACGAUGUGGGAAGGCCCAGACAGCCAGGAUGUUGGCUUAGAAGCAGCCAUCAUUUAAAGAAAGCGUAAUAGCUCACUGGUCGAGUCGGCCUGCGCGGAAGAUGUAACGGGGCUAAACCAUGCACCGAAGCUGCGGCAGCGACGCUUAUGCGUUGUUGGGUAGGGGAGCGUUCUGUAAGCCUGUGAAGGUGUGCUGUGAGGCAUGCUGGAGGUAUCAGAAGUGCGAAUGCUGACAUAAGUAACGAUAAAGCGGGUGAAAAGCCCGCUCGCCGGAAGACCAAGGGUUCCUGUCCAACGUUAAUCGGGGCAGGGUGAGUCGACCCCUAAGGCGAGGCCGAAAGGCGUAGUCGAUGGGAAACAGGUUAAUAUUCCUGUACUUGGUGUUACUGCGAAGGGGGGACGGAGAAGGCUAUGUUGGCCGGGCGACGGUUGUCCCGGUUUAAGCGKGUAGGCUGGUUUUCCAGGCAAAUCCGGAAAAUCAAGGCUGAGGCGUGAUGACGAGGCACUACGGUGCUGAAGCAACAAAUGCCCUGCUUCCAGGAAAAGCCUCUAAGCAUCAGGUAACAUCAAAUCGUACCCCAAACCGACACAGGUGGUCAGGUAGAGAAUACCAAGGCGCUUGAGAGAACUCGGGUGAAGGAACUAGGCAAAAUGGUGCCGUAACUUCGGGAGAAGGCACGCUGAUAUGUAGGUGAAG